UACGGGGGGAGCAAGCGUUGUUCGGAUUUACUGGGCGUAAAGGGCGCGUAGGCGGCACUGUUAGUCAGGCGUGAAAUUCCUGGGCUCAACCUGGGGACUGCGCUUGAUACGGCAGAGCUAGAGGAUGGAAGAGGGUCGCGGAAUUCCCAGUGUAGAGGUGAAAUUCGUAGAUAUUGGGAAGAACACCGGUGGCGAAGGCGGCGACCUGGUCCAUUACUGACGCUGAGGCGCGACAGCGUGGGGAGCAAACAGG
rnacentral:rRNA from 1 species